AACUCCCGCACCAGAAGGACCGUCGUGUCACCGAGCUGUUAAGAGAGCAUCCCUGCUUUGCUUCUGUUUCUUUGCUGAAAUAACCCUGCCAUGAGACGAAAGAAAACUAACAGCAUUUUACCGGCCAUGAGUGAAAGGACCUUAUGUAAGAGCUGCCUACGUCUUCCCUUUCCCCGUACAGCUGGAGGAAAGCUGAACACAUGCUUCCCCAGUGUGCCUCUUCUGUGGGCUGCGGUCGGGUCCAGCUGUGUGGGAGAUGCUGCAUUGGAUCGGUGCUGCCUUAACGGGCUGCGUGGCUCUAAACCAGCUAUGCCGAGGUACCCCAGCCCACCAGGCACCGUGGGGCGUGCGGGUGCCACGGGCAGGCGGGAUUGUGCUUUUCUCCUCUGCGCUGAUCUCUCAGAUGCUGAAAUUACCGCGGGAGACGUCCUGUUCUCCAGGAACGCUCACAGCCGGGAGAACCGAGCUGCGUUUGAAGCCACGGUUCCUCCUCUGUUACCCUGAAGGAAUUCUGCUUGUGCAUGCAGAGCCACAAAAGGGCUGUAGUGCUGAAUUUCCUUUGAUGCAAGAGAUAUUUAUUGGUAUUACUCACAUGUAAAUAGGCUUCCCUGCCUUUGCCUCUAAGAGAGGAUUUGAACAAUUUCCACAUGAGAAAUCCACUUGGAUGGUUGUUGAUUUGAAAACAAAGCUGGUUUCUAAAUUCUGACUUGGUUUCCCACAAGUUUGCUGCUCCUCUGCUCUUCCUUUUUCCAUUUUCUUUGUAAAUACAGAUUGACAUCCGUAAAAUUUCUGCCUAUUAGAAUUGUGCCUUCGUCAGCAUCUCUUCCUUCAGGAACUUUGUGUGAUAAUUUCUAGAAGCCAUUCCUUGUCUUCCAGAAGUCUAGUCUUAGAAAAUAAACAAACCCAGACAAAUGCAUUUUUAGUCUGGAAAGGCACAAAUAAGUAACCUGUACUUUUUAAAUCAGGCGCUGUAGAAAUGCUGAGCUUUAAGUCUUUGUCCUAGUAAUUAUUGUCAUCACUGUUGUUAUUAAAAGACAUAAGAUUUUAUUGCUGAU